CAGAGAGCGAAAGAGAGGGAGAGAGAAAUAUCACUACUCAGCCAGUCGAGCAAUUUGAGAGGCUACUGUCACGCACCCUGCGCACACAAGCCACCCGCCGUUCGCCUUCUUCAUGCGCGGGUUCAGCACCGCACUGAGCUGGACAGGAUACUCACGGACAGAUGGAAACGGACCGAGUCUCUGCCGUAGAGACAGAGGGUCCACCCGUACAGCAAGCGCAUAAGGAGGAGAAGUAUUCGCCGGUACUCUAGGGCUGCAUCCCUAUAUUCAGAAGGGACAGCAUGGACAGAACAGUUAUCGUUAAAAUGGUAGUCUCAAAAAUUAUAUCCUAACAAGAGGGAAUUUGCAGUAAAGUGCAAACGAAGGAUUUGACCGCCUUGUCGGCGAUUUGUUUUAUAGCCUAGCACUUCAAUAAGUUGCUCUGGAGAAUGGAAAAGGCCACCCAGCCUCAGCUGCAGUCGAGCAUAUCCAAGAGCGCAGAAGGUCCCUCAGAAGACCUUUCCAAACUUACGGAUGAGGAGCUUCUGAAAUGGAGCAAGGAGGAGCUGGUUCGCCGGCUCCGCAGAGCCGAAGCUGAGAAGAUGAGCGUCAUAGUGGACCACAGCAAUCUCAUCCGAGAGGUGAACCGCAGACUUCAGCAGCAUCUCAACGAAAUACGGGGGCUGAAGGAGGUGAAUCAGAAGCUGCAAGAGGACAACCAGGAGCUGCGGGACCUCUGCUGCUUUCUGGAUGACGACCGGCAGAAAGGGAAAAAGGUGUCGAGGGAGUGGCAGCGCCUGGGCCGCUACAGCGCAGGGAUCAUGCGUAAGGAGGUGACACUUUACCUGCAGAAGCUGAAAGAGCUGGAGCAGAGGCAGGAGGAAGUGGUGAGGGAGAACCUUGAACUGAGAGAACUGUGCCUCAUGUUGGAUGAGGAGAAGGGCUCUGGAGGUACCGGCGGGUCAGCGGGUACCGGGGGACCAGUCGGCUGCAGGAGUUCAAUUGAUAGUCAGAGCAGCCUGUCUCAUGCUAGUGGCCCUGGGCCUGGCCUAUUAAGGGAUGUAGGUGACGGGAGCAGUACCUCCAGCGCGGGCAGCACCGACAGCCCUGACCAUCUCACCCAUAAGCAGCAGCUGUUGGGUGGCCCGGUUGGAGGCAGUCCUGACCACCUACAUAAGCCAGGCCCAGGGGAGGAGGCAAAGGGUCCCGAGCAAACAAGCCGAAGACAUAGCACCAGCCAGGAGUAUGGAGCACAUACCUUUCCCCAGGUGUGCCGGUCUCGCUGCGGGUCCUUCUCCAGUCCAGACCACAAGGGCCUGCGGGGUCUCAGUCCAGAGAAACUUGGCAAGAGAGGCAGCCCAGAGCAGUUCUCAAAACACUUACUGGUGUCCUCUCAGCCGCCUGGCAGCCCGGACCUUUUCCAGAAGCACAGUGGUAGCAUGGGAAGUGUGUGUGGGAGUCCAGAGCCCAAACAGCUUCUAUCAGGGACACCGGAGCACCUACAGAAGGGCCGUGUCAUAUCUGGGAGCCCUGAGUUGUUGAGGCAUCAGCAUGGAAGGUUUGGCAGCCCCGGCCGAGAGGUGGCACAGAAGAGGCCGGGCGUAGAGGAGAUGUCCCCUCAUCACCGGAGCAUCUAUAGCGGUAUGAACGGUGGUUCCGAUUGGAGCCUGCUGUAGCACCCACAGUGAGAUAUACGGAGUCCCAUUUAAGUACACCACAUGCAGAAGGGAUGGUCAUCCUUCAUCCUGAAGCCAGCAAACCCAUAUUCCCAGCCAGGCACUAAACCCUCCAAUUCAGCCAGCCAUGAUCUUCAUUUAGUUUAGUUUUGCUUUGCUCAGUUUAGGAGAGGCCAUGGCCAGAUAGAGCAGGGGCUUUAGUGUCUGGCUAGAGCAGAACAUCUCAUCUCUGGUAAAGGUCGGUGGUGUCCAGUCUUGGUCCUCUUGGGCCAUGAUUUUUAGUAGGCUUUAGCUGCUUUCUAUCAAUCAGCCUCUGUACCUGUGCCUCUGAAGCCAUUUUUUAUGCUCUGGAACCCAGCUGAGGGAACACUGUAAUCAAUCAAUGAAAGACCAAAAAGCUCAGAGGCCCAGCAAAAGCCAGAAGACAGUGCUGCCCAGGAGGACCAGGAGUGGACACCAUUGUAUUUGCCAUAUGCACGCAGCUCUGAUAUCGGCUGGGUGUUGCACCAGCAACUGUAGAAGUGUCAAGCUUUGGGACAGUUUUGAUGCCUCCUGACCAUGGCCUUGACUGGAUUCAGUGGGCUUUGAUAGAGGAUGCCUGUUGCUUUCAUUUAACUUGCACUGACAGAAAUGGACGACAAGGAUGAAAAAGCCAGAGUGAAGGACAAAAAUGUUUGCGCAGCCAGUGUCUCUCGUCCCAUUCCCUCAACACACUGUUUCCUGCUGGUCUCCAAAUACAACUUACAGCCCUGCAAAUCCAAGGCCUGGAGGAAGGAUUCUUUAGGGUCUAACAGCUGGAAAUAACAUGAUUGCCAAAAGGAUUUCUCAAAUGGGAGAUUUAAUCAUUUCUCUUUUGCCAACAAAUUGAGCUACCUCCUUUGAACGGAAGCAGACAAAACAAAAAAGUGGGACUGGAAUUUUUUUGUUUUGUUUAUUUAUUAAUUUUUUUUCUUUUACCCAUUUUGUUUAUAGUCGCCCCAAAACACAAUCAAUCCACACUGUAAGCAGGGGGGGGGGUUAGUGUGCCAGCAUUUUGCACACAAAGGCAGUUACCUAUUACCAAACCAGUCUUUUGUCUCUAAAACAAGGGCAUUUCUUAAGCCGUUUUAAAGAAAAGAGCAAUACUGAAUGUCAGUGGCUCACAAGUAUUACAUUUUAGCUGAAAUCUGAAUGAUUAUGACAUUAUGUCAUAUCAAUCACUGCCUGGCUUUCAUAAGGACCUGUGUGAGAACGGUUCAUUUACUACAUUGACUAUGGCCAUGUGUAAAGAAAGGUAGUUAAACACUUAACUAUCUAUAAUCGAAAGUCGAAAGUUAAAGUUGAAGGUGUGCUAAAACACCUCUCCUGUCUCUUAAUAUCCCAUAACUGAUCUGUAUGUAGAUGCAGUAUUGUGUGAUGUAAAAGAAGCACAUAGAAAGCUGCUGCUGCUGCACCUGAGAAUUGUGUAGCCAGACGCUUUAGGCUUCCUUUGUGUUGAGUCUUCUUGCGUCUGGUGUUUCUGCCCUCACUGCUGCUGAAAUCAAGCGGCCCAAUCACAAAGCUCACAUAUCUUGACCAUUUCAAUGCUUUGUGAAAUUGCCAAAAUCAUUUUAUGGUUCAUCAAUAAAACAAUAAAAAAAAUCCCCUUCUGUCUGUGGAUUCAAAAGGAAGAGGCGGCCCUGUGGCUCUGUUAGUCCAGACUUGCUUGCCCUCACAUUCUCUGUUUUUGGACCAUAAACUCAGAGACUUGUCAUCCCACUGGACUACAUAGACCAUCAAACCAGGUACUGUUGCGUUUCAUUUGAGAGGACUUCAUACUUUAUAUUUGUUCCCUCACUGAACGUAACAUGCAUCUCGCAAACCAUCAAUCCUCCUGUAUACCAUCAGUAUUAAAAACAGCAAAAGUUACUUGAUAAGCUCAUUAACCUGUGAUUUUUUAUUUUUGUUGACAGAUUACGAAACAGAACAAAUAUUAAUAUAUAAAACCUUUAUGUUUUUAAAAAGUAAAGAGUAGUUUAAGGCUUAGUUUUUUAUAUAUGAUAACUAUAAUUAUUAUUUUUGACGUACUGGUAUUAUUGAAUCUAUAAAUAUUAUACUAAGAGAUGUAUGUAAAAACAAUAAAGUCUUCUUUAUGUAAAGCAUUUUUAAUUUGAUUCUUAUUUUUGACUGAUUUGUUCAUUUUACAUGUAAGGAAACCAGAAAUCAUAUUCUUAAAUGUAACGUAAAUAGUUCAGCCGUUUCUAAAGCUGUAUGACUUGCUUCUGUUCUUCAGUUUUCAGUGUCACGUGUUCCUUCGGAACUCAUUUUAAUAUGCUGAUUUGGUGCUCAAGAAACAUGUCUUAUCAAUGUUAAAACCAGUUGUACUGCUUAAUACUUUUGUGGAAAUCGUAAUACAUUUCAUGCGUUGUUUUAGUCUUUACAUGAUUUAAUGCAUUCUUGCCGAAUAAAAGUAUACAUUUGUAAAAAAUCUUACUGA